GUGCUUAAUCUGGUAGCCCAUUCACUAACAUUGAAAUGAUACAGAGAAGAUUAGCAUGGCCCCUGAACAAGGAUGACUCGCAAAUUCAUGAGGCAAUCCAUAUUUAU